rnacentral:rRNA from 1 species
GAGUUUGAUCAUGGCUCAGAACGUACGCUGGCGGCACGCCUAACACAUGCAAGUCGAACGAAGUAGCAAUACUUAGUGGCAGACGGGUGAGUAACAUGUAGGUAUCUGCCCUUUGGCCUGGAAUAACACGAGGAAACUUGUGCUAAUACCGGAUAAGUCUUUACGGAGAAAGCUUUAUGCACCAUUGGAUGAGCCCGCACUUGAUUAGUUUGUUGGUAGGGUAAUGGCCUACCAAGACUAUGAUCAAUAGCUGAUUUGAGAGGAUGAUCAGCCACAUUGGGACUGAGACACGGCCCAAACUCCUACGGGAGGCAGCAGUGGGGAAUCUUGCACAAUGGAGGAAACUCUGAUGCAGCGAUGCCGCGUGAGUGAAGAAGGCCUUUGGGUUGUAAAGCUCUUUCGUCGGGGAAGAAAAUGACUGUACCCGAAUAAGAAGGUCCGGCUAACUUCGUGCCAGCAGCCGCGGUAAUACGAAGGGACCUAGCGUAGUUCGGAAUUACUGGGCUUAAAGAGUUCGUAGGUGGUUGAAAAAGUUGGUGGUGAAAUCCCAGAGCUUAACUCUGGAACUGCCAUCAAAACUUUUCAGCUAGAGUAUGAUAGAGGAAAGCAGAAUUUCUAGUGUAGAGGUGAAAUUCGUAGAUAUUAGAAAGAAUACCAAUUGCGAAGGCAGCUUUCUGGAUCAUUACUGACACUGAGGAACGAAAGCAUGGGUAGCGAAGAGGAUUAGAUACCCUCGUAGUCCAUGCCGUAAACGAUGUGUGUUAGACGUUGGAAAUUUAUUUUCAGUGUCGCAGGGAAACCGAUAAACACACCGCCUGGGGAGUACGACCGCAAGGUUAAAACUCAAAUGAAUUGACGGGGACCCGCACAAGUAGUGGAGCAUGUGGUUUAAUUCGAAGAUACGCGCAGAACCUUACCAACACUUGACAUGUUCGUCGCGACUCUAAGAGAUUAGAGUUUUCGGUUCGGCCGGACGAAACACAGGUGCUGCAUGGCUGUCGUCAGCUCGUGUCGUGAGAUGUUGGGUUAAGUCCCGCAACGAGCGCAACCCUCACUUUUAGUUGCCAUCAUUAAGUUGGGCACUCUGAAAGAACUGCCAGUGAUAAGCUGGAGGAAGGUGGGGAUGACGUCAAGUCCUCAUGGCCCUUACGUGUUGGGCUACACACGUGCUACAAUGGCAUCUACAACAGGAAGCAAAACGGCAACGUUAAGCAAAUCCCGAAAAGAUGCCUCAGUUCGGAUUGCACUCUGCAACUCGAGUGCAUGAAGCUGGAAUUACUAGUAAUCGUGGAUCAGCGUGCCACGGUGAAUGCGUUCCCGGGUCUUGUACACACCGCCCGUCAAGCCAUGGAAGCUGGGGGUACCUGAAGUCGGUCACCGCAAGGAGCCGCCUAGGGUAAAACUGGUAACUAGGGCUAAGUCGUAACAAGGUAACC